UAGCUCAGUCAGUAGAGCGUGGCGCUAAGAAUGCUAAGGUCGCGGGUUCGAUUCCCGU
rfam:Apaloderma vittatum contig67977, whole genome shotgun sequence.